rnacentral:rRNA from 1 species
AACCGACCAAGGAAGGGCGAGCGGCCCGAACGCGCCGGGUCAGCGACUGGGACG